rnacentral:rRNA from 1 species
GUCUACAGCCAUACCAUCCUGAACAUGCCUGAUCCUGUCUGAUCUCAAAAGCUAAGCUGGGUCUGGCAUGAUUAGUACUUGGAUGGGAGAAAUUAUUUAAAAGGUAGUAU